rnacentral:tRNA from 1 species
GGCGCUAUAGCCAAGUGGUAAGGCAAAGGACUGCAACUCCUUGACCCCCGGUCCGAAUCCGGGUGGCGCCU